rnacentral:snRNA from 1 species
CGUUUCCUCGAUGCAAUUUAGCG